rnacentral:rRNA from 1 species
GAUGAACGCUAGCUACAGGCUUAACACAUGCAAGUCGAGGGGAAACGACAUCGGAAGCUUGCUUUUGAUGGGCGUCGACCGGCGCACGGGUGAGUAACGCGUAUCCAACCUGCCCACCACUUGGGAAUAACCUUGCGAAAGUAAGACUAAUACCCAAUGACGUCUCUAGAAGACAUCUGAAAGAGAUUAAAGAUUUAUCGGUGAUGGAUGGGGAUGCGUCUGAUUAGCUUGUUGGCGGGGUAACGGCCCACCAAGGCGACGAUCAGUAGGGGUUCUGAGAGGAAGGUCCCCCACAUUGGAACUGAGACACGGUCCAAACUCCUACGGGAGGCAGCAGUGAGGAAUAUUGGUCAAUGGACGAGAGUCUGAACCAGCCAAGUAGCGUGCAGGAUGACGGCCCUAAUGGGUUGUAAACUGCUUUUAUAAGGGAAUAAAGUGAGUCUCGUGAGACUUUUUGCAUGUACCUUAUGAAUAAGGACCGGCUAAUUCCGUGCCAGCAG